rnacentral:tRNA from 1 species
ACUAUUUUGGCAGAUAAGUGUAAUAAAUUUAGAAUUUAUUAAUGUAGAAUUGUUUUCUAUGAGUAGUA